rnacentral:rRNA from 1 species
GACGAACGCUGGCGGCGUGCUUAACACAUGCAAGUCGAACGGAAAGGCCCUGCUUUUGUGGGGUGCUCGAGUGGCGAACGGGUGAGUAACACGUGAGUAACCUGCCCUUGACUUUGGGAUAACUUCAGGAAACUGGGGCUAAUACCGGAUAGGAGCUCCUGCUGCAUGGUGGGGGUUGGAAAGUUUCGGCGGUUGGGGAUGGACUCGCGGCUUAUCAGCUUGUUGGUGGGGUAGUGGCUUACCAAGGCUUUGACGGGUAGCCGGCCUGAGAGGGUGACCGGCCACAUUGGGACUGAGAUACGGACCAGACUCCUACGUGAGGCAGCAGUGGGGAAUAUUGCACAAUGGGCGGAAGCCUGAUGCAGCAACGCCGCGUGCGGGAUGACGGCCUUCGGGUUGUAAACCGCUUUCGCCUGUGACGAAGCGUGAGUGACGGUAAUGGGUAAAGAAGCACCGGCUAACUACGUG